AACGAACGCUGGCGGCAUGCCCAACACAUGCAAGUCGAACGAGACCUUCGGGUCUAGUGGCGCACGGGUGCGUAACGCGUGGGAACCUGCCCUUAGGUUCGGAAUAACUCCCCGAAAGGGGUGCUAAUACCGGAUAAUGUCUACGGACCAAAGAUUUAUCGCCUUUGGAUGGGCCCGCGUUGGAUUAGCUAGUUGGUAGGGUAAAAGCCUACCAAGGCGACGAUCCAUAGCUGGUCUGAGAGGAUGAUCAGCCACACUGGGACUGAGACACGGCCCAGACUCCUACGGGAGGCAGCAGUGGGGAAUAUUGGACAAUGGGCGAAAGCCUGAUCCAGCAAUGCCGCGUGAGUGAUGAAGGCCUUAGGGUUGUAAAGCUCUUUUACCCGGGAUGAUAAUGACAGUACCGGGAGAAUAAGCUCCGGCUAACUCCGUG
rnacentral:rRNA from 1 species